UACGUAGGGUGCGAGCGUUAAUCGGAAUUACUGGGCGUAAAGCGCGCGCAGGCGGUCUGUUAAGUCAGAUGUGAAAUCCCCGGGCUUAACCUGGGAACUGCAUUUGUGACUGGCAGGCUAGAGUAUGGCAGAGGGGGGUAGAAUUCCACGUGUAGCAGUGAAAUGCGUAGAGAUGUGGAGGAAUACCAAUGGCGAAGGCAGCCCCCUGGGCCAAUACUGACGCUCAUGCACGAAAGCGUGGGGAGCAAACAGG
rnacentral:rRNA from 1 species